GAUGAAGAACGUAGCGAAAUGCGAUACGUAAUGUGAAUUGCAGAAUUCAGUGAAUCAUCGAAUCUUUGAACGCAUAUUGCGCUCUCUGGUAUUCCGGAGAGCAUGCUUGUUUGAGUAUCAGUAAACACCUCAACUCCCUUUUCUUUUUUGAAAUUGGAGCUGGACUUGAGUGAUCCCAACGCUUUCUUCCAAGAAAGUGGCGGGUUGCUUGAAAUGCAGGUGCAGCUGAACUUUUCUCUGAGCUAUAAGCAUAUCUAUUUAGUCUGCCUAAAAAACAGAUUAUUACCUUUGCUGCAGCUAACAUAAAGGAGACUAGUUCUUGUGCUGACUGAUGCAGGAUUCACAGAGACAGCUUCGGCUGACUUUGUAAACUCGUUCUCAAAUCAAGUAAGACUACCCGCUGAACUUAAGCAUAUCAAUAAGCGGAGGA
rnacentral:misc_RNA from 1 species